rnacentral:rRNA from 1 species
CCUACGGGUGGCAGCAGUGGGGAAUAUUGCACAAUGGGGGAAACCCUGAUGCAGCGACGCAGCGUGAGUGAAGAAGUAUCUCGGUACGUAAAGCUCUAUCAGCAGGGAAGAAAAUGACGGUACCUGACUAAGAAGCCCCGGCUAACUACGUGCCAGCAGCCGCUGUAAUACGUAGGGGGCACGCGUUAUCCGGAUUUACUGGGUGUAAAGGGAGCGUAGACGGCAGCACAAGUCUGGAGUGAAAUCCCGGGGCUUAACCCCGGAACUGCGUUGGAAACUGGGGGGCUUGAGUGCAGGAGGGGUAAGCGGAAUUCCUAGUGUAGCGGUGAAAUGCGUAGAUAUUAGGAGGAACACCGGUGGCGAAGGCGGCUUACUGGACUGUAACUGACGUUGAGGCUCGAAAGCGUGGGGAGCAAACAGGAUUAGAUACCCUAGUAGUC